rnacentral:rRNA from 1 species
AGAGUUUGAUCCUGGCUCAGGACGAACGCUGGCGGCGUGCUUAACACAUGCAAGUCGAACGCAAGGACGGAAAGAGCUUGCUCUUUUCAGAAUUGAGUGGCAAACGGGUGAGUAACACGUAAACAACCUGCCUUCAGGAUGGGGACAACAGACGGAAACGACUGCUAAUACCGAAUAAGUUCCAAGAGCCGCAUGGCCCAUGGAAGAAAAGGUGGCCUCUACCUGUAAGCUAUCGCCUGAAGAGGGGUUUGCGUCUGAUUAGCUGGUAGGAGGGGUAACGGCCCACCAAGGCGACGAUCAGUAGCCGGUCUGAGAGGAUGAACGGCCACACUGGAACUGAGACACGGUCCAGACUCCUACGGGAGGCAGCAGUGGGGAAUCUUCCGCAAUGGGCGAAAGCCUGACGGAGCAACGCCGCGUGAGUGAUGACGGCCUUCGGGUUGUAAAACUCUGUGAUCCGGGACGAAAAGGCAGAGUGCGAAGAACAAACUGCGUUGACGGUACCGGAAAAGCAAGCCACGGCUAACUACGUGCCAGCAGCCGCGGUAAUACGUAGGUGGCAAGCGUUGUCCGGAAUUAUUGGGCGUAAAGCGCGCGCAGGCGGCUUCCCAAGUCCCUCUUAAAAGUGCGGGGCUUAACCCCGUGAUGGGAAGGAAACUGGGAAGCUGGAGUAUCGGAGAGGAAAGUGGAAUUCCUAGUGUAGCGGUGAAAUGCGUAGAGAUUAGGAAGAACACCGGUGGCGAA